UCGUUAUGUUUUGUUAUGGUGGGGUCUUUUUGUACCAACAUUUACGUUUUCGAGCGGUAGAUGAACAUUGCCUAAUUGUUCUCUUUGCUAAACGUGACUUAAGUCGGGGUAAUUUGUGUAUGGUUUCAAUUUUUGUUAGUCUGCUUUGCUUGUGUUAUAAUUAUCUAUUUUCUUUAAUUAAUAAAUUUUGUUUUGUUUUUUGUUUUUAUUAUUAUUUAAUUUUAUUUAUUUAUUGGGCUAAAAUUGUGACACCUAAUGUGAUCCCGUUUGGUUCAUGUUAUUGACACCUGUAAGACCCCAAUUUUGAUCCUAAGAUCCCUCAUGCCAUCUCAUC
rnacentral:lncRNA from 1 species